rnacentral:rRNA from 1 species
GACGAACCGUGCGAACGUUGUUCGGAAUCACUGGGCUUAAAGGGCGCGUAGGCGGGUCUUCAAGUCAGGGGUGAAAGCCUCCGGCUCAACCGGAGCAGUGCUUUUGAUACUGGAGAUCUCGAGGGAGGUAGGGGCAUGUGGAACUCAGGGUGGAGCGGUGAAAUGCGUAGAGAUCGGGAGGAACACCCGUGGCGAAGGCGGCCACCUGGGCCGACCCUGACGCUGAGGCGCGAAGGCGUGGGGAGCGAACGGG